AUUAAUAAUUAUUUAUUAAUAGUUUUUGUUAAAAGAAAAUUAAAUUUUAAAAGUAAUUUUAUGUAUUAUUUAGUUUAAGUAUUUUAUAAAGAAACAAUAAUUUUUAUUAUAGUGUAUUAGUAUUGUAAAAGAAUAUUGAAAUAAUUUGAAAAAUUUUUAUUUUUAAAGAAAAAUUAGUUUUUUGUACCUUGUGUAUCAGGGUUAAUUAAUUAAAAUAUAAAAAAUUUAUAUUUCUCGAUUUUAAGAGAUUUAAUAAUUUAUGUUUUUUACUGUAAAAUAAGUAUUAAAAAUUGGUUAUUAGAAAUGAAACGUUAUUCGUUCUUAAAUAUAUCUAGUUUCCUAAGAAAUAAAUUUAAUUUACAUAUUUUAAAUUAUUUAUUUAUUUUAAUUAAAAUUUAAAUAAUUUUUUAAUAUGAAUAUUUUAAGGGAUGAGCUUUAAAAUAAAUUAUUAUAUUUUGAGAAUAUUUUUAUAAAAAAGUAAGCUUAUAAAUAGCUAUCUUUAAUAAUUAUGUUAUAAUUUAUUAUAAAAUAAAAAUAUUUAUUAAAAAAUUAAUUUUUUAUUAGGAUGUUUACAUUAAUAAAAAAUGUAAAAUAAUAAUGAUUAAAUUAGUAAAUGUAAAAGUUAAAAAUUAAAUAAAAAAUGAAAGGUUUAUUUUAAUUAAUUCGACAAAUUUUUAUACCCACCUGUUUAUCAAAAACAUGUCUUUUUAGAUAAUUUUUAAAAAGUCUAGCCUGCCCACUGAAUUUUAAUUGAAGGGCCGCGGUAUUUUGACCGUGCAAAGGUAGCAUAAUCAUUAGUCUCUUAAUUGGAGGCUUGUAUGAAUGGUUGAAUGAGGUAUAUGUUGUAUCAAAAAAAUUUAUAAUUGAAUUUUAUAUUUUAGUUAAAAUGCUAAAAUAAAAUUAAAAGACGAGAAGACCCUAUAAAUCUUUACAAUUUUUAUUAUUUAAUUUAUAAAGAAUAAUUAAAAUUUUAUAAUAUAAAUUGUUUUAUUGGGGUGAUAUUAAGAUUUAUUUAACUCUUAAAAAAUUUUAUCAUUUAUAUAUGAUUAAUUGAUCCAUAUUAAUGAUUAAAAAUUUAAGUUACUUUAGGGAUAACAGCGUAAUUUUUUUAGAGAGUUCUUAUCGAUAAAAAAGAUUGCGACCUCGAUGUUGGACUAAGAAUUAUUUUAGGUGUAGAAGUUUAAAAUUUAGGUCUGUUCGACCUUUGAAUUCUUACAUGAUCUGAGUUCAGACCGGCGUGAGCCAGGUUGGUUUCUAUCUUUAAUUAAAAAAAAUAUUUUAGUACGAAAGGACCAAAUAUUUAAAUUUUAAAUUUUUAUUAAUUGAAUAAAAUUAAUAUAAUUAAAAAAUAUUUAAAUAAAAUAAAUAAUUAAAAUUGA
rnacentral:rRNA from 1 species